rnacentral:rRNA from 1 species
AACUAAACACAUAUUUUUAAAAUAAAAGCGUCUGAUCUCGGAAGCUAAGCAGUGCCAGGCCUGGUUAGUACUUGGAUGGGAGACCACCUAGAAAGACCAGAUGCUGUAGGCC